ensembl:snoRNA
AUCCUUUUGUAGUUCAUAAGCAUGAUGAUGGUGUGUUCAUGCUGUUGUGUGAGCUGCGCCUCCCUCAGACCUUGUUCCGGCAUUAACACAUUUCCCAUCUAGCG